ensembl:lncRNA novel transcript
AUGAAAAGACCAUGCACACUGGAGCAGGACAGUUGCAAUUUUGGCUUCCCUCUCUCCUGACUCUGGGAUCUUGAGUAAAUUACUCCAAGUCCUUAAGCCUCUGUUUCCACAUCUGGAAACUGAACAUACUAACACCGACCUCUCAGAGUUGUUGGGACAAUUAAUCAGGAACAUAUGUGGAAGCACAGUGCCAGGGACAAGGCAUUCAUUUGAUAAAUAGUGAUGUCUUUCCUUCCUUUCCCACCCCUUUUCUUCCUCCCUGCAGAGACACUCAAACUGGGAUUCUGGUCAUGGCCAGGUGACUGCCAUGAGGACAGAGGCAUCUGGCGUUAGUUCCUGGAUGAAGGCUGUACAGGAAGCAUGGUGCCAGCAUCUGCUUCUGCUAAGGGGUUCAGGCUGCUUCCGCUCAUGGCAGAAGGCGCAGGGGAGCCGGCGAGUCACAUGGUGAGAGAGGAAGCAAGAGAGAGAGGAGGAGAUGCCAGGCUCUUUUUAACAAUCAGUUCUCAUGGGAACUCAGAAGAGCAAGAACUCAUUCAUUACUGCAAGGAUGACUCCAAGCCAUUCAUGAGGGACCAGAUUCCAUAACCCAAACACCGCCCACCAGGCCCCAUCUCCCACACUGGGGAUCACAUUUCAACAUGAGACUUGGAUGGGACAAACAUCCAAACUGUAUCAGACAUCAUCUCACGAAUCCACAAAUUUAGCUGCUUUCCCUUCUUUUCUGUAGUUUCACAACCUACUAUAGAAGCACUUUCUAGAGGGGCCUGCAGAAGUGAAUUUCCUCUUCCAUGGCCUCGAUGUAUUUGGCUGUUGAUUCAGUAUCACUGAACUUACUGCCAACAGCACUACAACUCACGCUGAAGGCACCUCAUCCAGCACAGGUAUUGUCUCCACAGGCACAUCGCAGCCUCCUGCACUCAGAGACAGUAGACAGCACUUCAGCACCGUGCCUGGGGACAUUUUAAACAGCAAAAUCACCAACAAAAGUACAAAAAUGCAAAAGCAUGGCUCUGGAUAGACAGCAGGAAGGACCACUUGUUUCUAGUGUGAGAGCUGGGACAAGAAAGCAGAGGGGUCACCUUGCUUCACCUCAGCCGGGAACAGAUGCCUUGGACUACUCAGAUUUUUUCCCUGCUCUGUACAAGUCUGUGAAUCACUGUGAAGCCACAAGUAUUGAUUUGGUUUACAAACACAUUUUAGUGAAGAGGUGAAUUUGCAGGUAUGGAAUCUAGAAAUAAUGAGAUCGGACUGUAAGGCUGGAGACGAAGAUGGAGAGGCUGCUGCCAAGUGACAGGCUGGCUCUUGUCCCAGAAGCUGUGGACUGCCACUGGAGUGUUUCAAGCAAGGGAGUGGCUUGAUCUGUGUUGUAGGAACAGCACCUUUUCUCAACUUAAAAGUGUGGCUUGAAGAGAGGAAGACGGGAGACUGGUUAGGAGAUGGAUGUAUCCAGGUGAGGAUGAGGGUGGGUGAACGGAGCCAGGGAUAGAGGUCCUCAGGGGAGCUGACCUGAGACCCCUGUGAGUCUCGGGUCCUGGCAAUGGGGCGGCGGUGAGUGGUGAGGGGGAGGCAUUGAGGACAGCGCCCGGGGUCCCCGGCUGGGGCACAUGCUGGGGUGUAGGGCAGUGGUCAAGGGCCCUAGCCUUGCAGUCAGACACCCCUGGCGGGCUGUGUGGCUUAGACAUGCUCCUCCACUUCCCUAAGCCUAGUUGUUUCAUGUCUAGCAUAAAGAUUCCGUGUGGCAGGAAGAACACACCCCCGGGAGUGAUUCUGAGAUUGAAAUGAGUGCUGGUGCUUUUCACCUAAACAAGGAAAACGGGGAGAGAAGCAGUAUGUGGGGUGGGAGGGAGAAGAGUCUGUCUGGGCGUGGGGAUUUGGACGUGCCUCUGGACACCCAUGGACAAAUAUCCUGAGGCCAUCUGAUGUUUUCCGGGGGCCACGGGAGUGGGGGAGGGGAAGGUGGGGCGGAGACACAGACUUGGGCAUUACCAGCAGGCAGGGGGCUGCUACCGCCAUGAAGAGUGGGCAGUGCCAGGAUCAGAGGGCCGGGGUAAAGCCUGCGGAAUUCCCACAUUUCAGAAGAGGCUGGGAAGGAGGUCAAGGAAGAGCAGCAGGAGGAGGAGAAAGCAGGAGGGUGUGGAGGGACGGGAGGCGGGGAGGAGGAAUUCCAGGAGGGAGUGGCCGGGGUGACUGUUCUGAAAGCAUGGACUGGAAGCCACAGCACAUUUGGGCUGCAAGGAACCCGAGAGAUCUUCUAGUCUAAUCCUCUUUCAGUCUCCAUCCCCGUCCGGAUGAAGACAGCGAGAUCCAAAAGUAAAGUCAGUUGUACUGUGACUUCCUAGCAGGAUACCCUAACUCCUAAUUCAUAAUAAAACUACAGACAUUCUCAAUUCAAAAUUCUUCCUAUUCAGUCACACUGGACUUUCUCCCAAUGUGACAAAAUUAUUGAGAUUUUAUUGACUUACUGAACAACUGUGGUCUUUGCCAUGUACUAAGAUACUGUGUAGUCAAACUGCGCCUCUGAAAUCUAUUUUUAUUGUACAUUUAACAAAUUUUGCUGUAAACAAUAAGUUUAAAAACAAUAGUCAUAACUCAUUAAACUGUAUCUUUUAAUUUUAAUAUGUUAUUAUACCUCAAUGAAACUCAGUUUUAAAAAACAGUGAAUAAAAAGUUGAGCUAUUAAAACUAAAAAGUAAUUAUUUGCUAGUUUGUAUACACAGACCCAAGAAAUAGAAAUAUAGGAAUAUUUGGAACUUGCUCCUUCUUACAGCCUUGAGGGAACCGCUUAUCCCUUAUUACGCCUUGGUUUCCCUCAAUGAAACUAGAAAAUAUUACCUUGCAAGACGCUCAUAGUUAAUUAAUACGUAUGAAGCUCUUGAAUCUAAAUAUUAAAUACUUGAUGAUAUUGUCUGGUAAAUAUUAUCUAACUGCAUUUAUAAAUACUAGCAUUUUUACAGCCUAGUGGUAAUUACAAAGUAUAGCCCAUUUAAAAUGAAUACAAAUAUGUGCAUAUAUAUUUUUCCUGUGAAAGUAGGAAAAGAAAGUUGAAAUUAUGCAAGAACAAAGUAGAAAAAUAUGCCUCUCAUAUAAGAUUGAGUGUUUCCAUUGAUCAAUAUAAUUUUUAAAAUGUUGUGAUGAUUCUUUUUUUCACUUAAUUGGCUAUGUCAUUUGCACUCUACCUAAGUGAGAUAUUAAUAAAUUGUAUAUGAUGUAAAUAACAGGAAACAAGAAGAACUGCUGGCCUUAUUCAUAGUUAAUAAAGAGAACCAGAUGAUG